CUACUAGGGUAUCUAAUCCUGUUUGCUCCCCACGCUUUCGCGCCUCAGCGUCAGUUACAGACCAGAGAGCCGCCUUCGCCACUGGUGUUCCUCCACAUAUCUACGCAUUUCACCGCUACACGUGGAAUUCCACUCUCCUCUUCUGCACUCAAGUCCUCCAGUUUCCAAUGACCCUCCACGGUUGAGCCGUGGGCUUUCACAUCAGACUUAAAAGACCGCCUGCGCGCGCUUUACGCCCAAUAAUUCCGGACAACGCUUGCCACCUACGUAUUACCGCGGCUGCUGGCAC
rnacentral:rRNA from 1 species